rnacentral:rRNA from 1 species
UGCGUAGGCGGUUUGGUAAGUCUUGUGUGAAAUCUAUGGGCUCAACUCAUAGCCUGCACGAGAAACUGCCGGGCUUGAGUAUGGGAGAGGUGAGUGGAAUUUCCGGUGUAGCGGUGAAAUGCGUAGAUAUCGGAAGGAACACCUGUGGCGAAAGCGGCUCACUGGACCAUAACUGACGCUGAUGCACGAAAGCUAGGGGAGCAAACAGGAUUAGAUACCCUGGUAGUCCUAGCCCUAAACGAUGACUGCUUGGUGUGACGGGUACCCAAUCCCGCCGUGCCGAAGCUAACGCGUUAAGCAGUCCGCCUGGGGAGUACGGUCGCAAGGCUGAA